rnacentral:rRNA from 1 species
CACGGGGACACUUGAGAGAACACGGUCCCGAACUUCCUAACGGGAGGGCAGCAGUAAGGGAAUAAUUGAACAAUGGAGGCACUUGAUCAGCCAUCCGGCGUGGAGGAAUAAUGCCCUAUGGGUGUAAACUCCUUUAGCUAGGGAAUAAAUCAGUGGAUUCAUCCGCUGUUGAAGGUACCUAGAGAAUAAGCACCGGGCUAACUCCGUGCCAGCAGCCGCGGUAAUACGGAGGGUGCAAGCGUUAUCCGGAUUUACUGGGUUUAAAGGGUGCGUAGGCGGGUUUUUAAGUCAGAUGUGAAAGCCUUGAGCUUAACUCAAGAACUGCGUUUGAUACUGGAGACCUUGAAUUCGAUAGAAGUGGGCGGAAUAAUUCAUGUAGCGGUGAAAUGCUUAGAUAUGAAUUAGAACACCAAUUGCGAAGGCAGCUCACUAUGUCGAUAUUGACGCUGAGGCACGAAAGCGUGGGGAUCAAACAGGAUUAGAUACCCUGGUAGUCCACGCCCUAAACGAUGAAUACUCGUUGUUUGCGAUAUACAGUGAGCGACUAAGCGAAAGCGUUAAGUAUUCCACCUGGGGAGUACGUUCGCAAGGAUGAAACUCAAAGAAAUUGGCGGGGGUCCGCACAAGCGGUGGAUUAUGUGGUUUAAUUCGAUGAUACGCGAGGAACCUUACCAAGGCUAGAAUGCAAUAGGAAUAUAAGGGAAACUUUAUAGCUCGCAAGAGUCUGUUGCAAGGUGCUGCAUGGUUGUCGUCAGCUCGUGCCGUGAGGUGUUGGGUUAAGUCCCGCAACGAGCGCAACCCCUAUUGUUAGUUACCAUCAUUAAGUUGGGGACUCUAGCGAUACUGCCUGCGUAAGCAGAGAGGAAGGAGGGGAUGACGUCAAAUCAUCAUGGCCUUUAUGCCUUGGGCUACACACGUAAUACAAUGGUAAGGACAAAGAGCAGCCAACUGGCGACAGUGCGCGAAUCUCAAAAACCUUAUCUCAGUUCGGAUUGGAGUCUGCAACUCGACUCUAUGAAGCUGGAAUCGCUAGUAAUCGCAGAUCAGCCAUGCUGCGGUGAAUACGUUCCCGGACCUUGCACACACCGCCCGUCAAGCCAUGGAAGUUGGGUGUACCCUAAGACGGUAGCCGCGAGGAGCUGUCCAAGGUAAAACCAGUAACUGGGGCUAAGUCGUAACAAGGUAACCA